rnacentral:rRNA from 1 species
UACGUAGGGGGCAAGCGUUGUUCGGAUUUACUGGGCGUAAAGGGCGCGUAGGCGGCCAGCGCAAGUCAGUUGUGAAAUCUCCGGGCUUAACUCGGAACGGUCAACUGAUACUGCGCGGCUAGAGUGCAGAAGGGGCAACUGGAAUUCUCGGUGUAGCGGUGAAAUGCGUAGAUAUCGAGAGGAACACCUGCGGCGAAGGCGGGUUGCUGGGCUGACACUGACGCUGAUGCGCGAAAGCCAGGGGAGCGAACGGG